UUACGGUCAUAUCGCGUUGUAACACCAGUUCUCGUACGAACCUCGAAGUUAAGCAACGUCUAAACUAAUCAGUAACUUGAUGCGUGACUGCUUGCGAAUAGCAGGUGCUGUAA